UCAAUCGCCCCGUGAGUUGUGAGUGGGAGGAUCCUGCCAAUUCUAGUUCACGGGUGUGCAACUAGUGGCUGAUAUCUUCCCUCCCUUCUUAUAUAAAUGGUGAGUGGCUCAUACAUGCAUCAUAUUCAUAUAUAAUCAAUUAGAUAUAGCUUGUUGAGAUUUUGUUAAGUGUGAUAUAACUAUGAAGUUGGUGGGUUUGGUGUUGAUGGUGUUUAUGAUUGGAACCGCACUAGUGUUCGAGAGUUGCACAGCAGUGAGUCUGUGUAACAUGGACGAGGGUGGCAUACUGGCCUGUAAGCCAUCAGUCACCAACCCCAAUCCGGUCGAUCCCUCUGCCGAUUGCUGCAAGGCUCUCUCCGGAGCUAACUUGACGUGCUUGUGUUCUUACAAGAACUCACUCUUCCUGCCUUCUCUAGGCAUUGAUCCUCAUCUUGCCUUGGCUCUCCCUGCCAAAUGCAACCUUCCCAGUCCUUCUGAUUGCUAAGCUGUUUUUACCUGAAAAUGGCAACCUGAGAAGGAACUGAAGAAUGAAGAAACAAUCUUAUGGUUUGAGGUUUAGAAGCAGCAAGGACUACUUCUGGAUGUUAAUUAGUAGUGAAAAAUAUUUGGUUAUGAAGUUUGAAGAAUGUUAAUGACUCACGUUUUCUGUAAUUUAUCUAUAUGAUUAGUUAAGUUUACACAGCAUGAA